rnacentral:lncRNA from 1 species
AGCCAGAGGCCAGCCGGCAGCCAGGCGUGAGGAAGAGGCACAUCCCCUCUCUCCCUCGCCCCCCACCGAUGCCCUCCGCGGGGCUAUGCUGGCUGUACCUGCUGCUGCCUCUGGUCCCAGCCACCCCCGGGGGGGACGGAGAUGUCCCACGUGGCGGUGGCACCGUGGCCAUCCCCUCCUGGAAAGGAGCCCGCUGCACCCACGGCCACAGGCAAGAGAUCCUCAUAGCGUGGGAAAGACUCAAGCUGCCGGCAUCCGACCGGGGAUUUAU